CUCAAAUUUUGAGUCUACAAGCUCAGCUAGGGGAAAAGAACAAAUUGGAACAGAACAGUUUCCAAACAGUGAAGGAGGUUUUUCCAAACUCAUCCCUAACUGAACAUGAGGAUGAAUUGGCAUUAGGCGAACACAGUCAGUUAUUCACUCUACCACCUGACAGUGUGUUAAAGUUAAAUUCUGUUAGUGCUGCACUAAAAGAAUUGUUAGUAAUAAGUCCAUGCAGCGAAGGAAGUGAACAAUUGUGGGACCGUAUUUGGGCUGAAAAUGGGUGUGGUACGGAAACCCAGAAAUAGCACGACUUCAACAUAAAACAUGAAUUAGAAUUUUAGUGGGGGAUCAAGUCAAGUCUGGAAGUGUUACAGGAUGGAAGAGUGAGCCUACAGUUGAAAAACACUGAAAGUGCAUUACCAUUAAGGUAUGAGGUAAAGUAAUAGAGUAUGCAAAUUGUCUAAUGAGAAGUACCAUCUUGUGUGAAUGAAUCCUGUGUAACAGCAAUCCUUUAUAGUUCUGUCACAGC